GUUUGUUGAAGAACACAUCCACAGCAGCACUGUGCGCUGGAGGAAAGCAGCUUUUUUAGAGCAGCUAUGAUGAGUACAGCUUGGAGCACAUGAGCAACCUCAUGGCCAGCAGGAGACAGAAAGCCGGGGACGAUGGAGAGCGGAGUCUCAUAGGACCUCCAUCUAGGCAUGUGGAUGAGAAUCUCCCAGACCGGGAUGCCCCCAAGCCGCUUUUUGUCUAUUUGUUGGCGUUUUUCUCUGCCUUGGGGGGAUUCCUCUUUGGGUAUGACACUGGAGUGGUUUCUGGAGCCAUGAUUCUCCUCAAGAAGGAGAUGAACCUGAAUGCUCUGUGGCAGGAGCUGCUGGUUUCCAGUACUGUGGGAGCUGCGGCGCUCUCUGCCCUGAGUGGAGGCUACCUGAACGGGUGGCUGGGCCGCAGGAUCUGUAUCCUUGUGGCCAGCUUUAUCUUCACUGUCGGUGGCAUCAUCUUGAGUCUUGCCCCAGACAAGGUGGUCCUCCUUGUUGGCAGAAUUACAGUUGGUUUGGGCAUAGGCAUUGCUUCCAUGACUGUUCCUGUGUACAUCGCAGAAGUUUCCCCUCCUCACCUGCGAGGUCAGCUGGUCACUAUCAAUUCCCUUUUUAUCACUGGUGGCCAGUUCAUUGCCAGUGUGAUUGAUGGGGCUUUCAGCUACGUGAGACAAGACGGCUGGAGGUACAUGUUGGGCCUUUCCUGCCUUCCUUCUGUGCUGCAGUUCUUCGGCUUUAUUUUUCUGCCCGAGAGCCCCCGUUGGCUCCUCCAAAAAGGCCGAAGCCUAGAGGCUCAUCAGGUUCUCAGCCAGAUCAGAGGAGGCCAGAACAUUGAUGAGGAGUAUGACACCAUCAGAGCCAGCAUUGAGGAAGAAGAGAAAGAUUUAAAUGGAGGUGGGCCUGUUAUUUUCCGUAUCCUCAGGCACUCGCCGACUCGUAGGGCUCUCAUCGUUGGUUGUGGGCUCCAGAUGUUUCAGCAGUUGUCUGGGAUAAACACCGUCAUGUACUACAGUGCAACCAUUGUGCAGAUGGCUGGGGUGCGUGAUGAUAAACAGGCAAUAUGGUUGGCCGCAGCAACUUCAGCUACCAACUUUGUGUUCACCUUGUUGGGAGUCUGGCUUGUUGAGAAAGUGGGUCGCAGGAAGCUGACCCUGGGCAGUCUUUUAGGAACUGGUCUGAGUCUGGCUCUGUUGGCAGUUGGGUUCUUGUUAUCUGCCCAGAACUCUCCUCCUAUAACCCUCCACCCAUUAGACCCCCAAAACUCAACCUGCAGGACAUAUGGGUCUUGUGAAGGCUGCAUGCUGGAUCCAGAUUGUGGAUUUUGUUUCCUUGAAAAUGGCACCAACGUGUACGACUCUUCCUGUGUUCCUGUCAAUCAGUCAUCCACGGAUCAUGCAGCCUGGGGAAGGUGUUCCAAUGGAACAGAAGCAAGCGACAAUCCAAUUUGGGCGUACAACUACUGUCCUUCGUCUUACUCCUGGAUUGUUCUUUUUGGCCUCAUCCUCUACCUUGCGUUUUUUGCUCCAGGUAUGGGCCCCAUGCCUUGGACAGUGAACUCUGAGAUCUACCCACUUUGGGCGCGCAGUACUGGCAACGCCUGUUCAGCUGGAGUGAACUGGAUCUUCAAUGUCUUGGUGUCUCUGACGUUUCUCCAUGUUGCAGAGUUUCUUACUUAUUAUGGUGCGUUCUUCUUGUACACGGGCCUGGCCAUGCUGGGUCUCAUCUUUGUACUGGGCUGCCUCCCAGAGACAAAGGGCCUACAGCUGGAAGAGAUUGAGAACCUGUUCGCAGGUCAGCUCUGCUCCUGUGGAGAGCCUUCACCCAACAGCAAUCGUCAUGUCCAAUACAUCCGGGUAAAAGGCAGCAACUACCUCCCCUCUGACAACGACGCCUCAGAUGUAGAGUAGACUGGGAUGAUUUCGCUUUCCACUCUGUCCUUUGGUUUUCCUGGGAUGGCUGCUCUUGCGGGGAGGAAAAGGUAUUCACGGUUCCCUCUGGUGGGUGUGAUCGAAUGGGACCAAACGCAGGCUAGAGCUCCCCUGGGGUUGACUUUAACUGGUGCUUUCUUUCAUUUAAGCAACUUUUUCAAAUUUCUUUUUAGUUCUGCCUUUAUCUCACCUGGAAAUCGUGUUGCUUUGCAUUUCUUACUUUUGAAUAUCCUCCUUAUUUCUCAUCGUCAUUUAUGCACUAAUAAAAAGGGAAUACUGACUGGUGUCUACGCAGUAUUGCUGUGGGCACAGUUAAUCUGUGACAGUGUUGCUGGGAUCAGAAAAUCCUUGUUGAGUGAAAUAUUUCCAUUUUCUUGUUGAGAAACCUUUUAGAAACAAGCCUUUUGUUGUUGUUGUUUUAACCACACAGUUGGUUGCUGACUCAUCGUUUACCCUCACAUAUUUAAUUCCAUUAAGUUGCGUGAUUUCCGUCUGACCAUCCAUCUUUUAUAAACUACAAAAACGAGAUACGGGCAGAAAUCUGAUUGUGGUGAAAUGAUAAGGAUUUGAGAAUUUGAAGAUCUGUGAAACUGCUUUCACUGAUUUCUGCCAUACUUGGACGUUUGCACAUCUUUUCGAAAUCAUUAACAUGGGGUUAGUCCUCCAAUCAAAGCUGGUGUCAAAAAUACUAAUCACGUGUUUCUGUUGUCAACUAGAAAGUGGGUGAGUUUGCACUUUAAAGUCUUUUAUUUUUUCAAUAAAUAAUAAAAUUAAGUGAUAAAUAAAAUGUUUCCUACGUGCCAGAUUGCUAUAGCAAGUUGUUGUUUUUUUAGCAUGAUUUGGAAUUCAGCCAAGCAAACUAUGGAGCCGUGGAGUCAGACAGUGCCAUAGCCUAUAUAACUCUGAGAUAAUGGUGACCAAGAACAACGUCCCACAGAGGGCUUUUGUACAGAAUGUCCUUUUUACACUGGGAUACUUUGAUAAGUACCAGUUUGCUUUAUUGGCACUGCUGGCAUUUACAAAUAUUGAUUUUUCAUUAAAUAUUUUUCAUGCGGCCUUAUUUUUAUUUUUUUUUGUACAUCAAGCACAGGCUAAGAUGUAUUUGGAAAUUGUACAAAACCUCCACAUGGAAACAUGAAAGUGCUUGAUACCUAAAACUACGUGAUCUGUAGUUACAGGUCCAUUCUGCUUUUGUUUGAAAUGAAUGGAUUUCCCUCUUGUGCUGGGGGAAAAGAAUAGACUCAUGACACUACCACCUUUAUAUGAGACAGAGUUUUUCCUCAGGUGAACAGAGCUGAUUGUCUUGACAGCUUCGAGGGGAAAGCAUUUCAGGUUAAAAGGCCAUAAAUGAAUUUUAUGGAUAAAUGGAUCAGCAUUUUGUAUAUGAAAAGUUAACUGUUUGCAAAGUUACAAUAUAUGUGUGUUUUCUUUUCUUUUCACCAAUGUCAUAUUUGAUAAAUAAACUUGUCAAAAGAG